CCUUUGCUCUCUCUCAUUGGUUUUGUUGUUGAGGGGGUUGUUUUAAGCAAAGCCAAACAACCCCUCCAAAAAAAGCAAACGAAAAAUUCCGGGUAAAAUCAACUAUGCGGAGACCACGUUUUCGUUGAAGCUGCCCUAAGACCAAAGAAGCUGAGACCGACCUUGAAGGAUUAACGAUUUCUGUAGCUGAAAUGUUCUAAUUUUACUGACGUUUGGUGGAGACGGUUUUUCGUUUCCUUGCUGUAAAUUCAAAAGCAUGAAAGGAAGAUCAGCCUUAAGCUAGCAUCUGCUGCCAAUCCUCCUCUUUUUUGCUGAGGAAGACUGGUCCUGAGCUAACAUCCGUGCCCAUCUUCCUCUACUUUAUAUGUGGGACGCCUACCACGGCAUGGCUUACCCAGUGGUGCCAUGUCCGCAACCAGGAUCCGAACCAGCGAACCCCAGGCUGCCGAAGCUGAACGUACAAACUUAACCGCUGCGCCACCGGGCCAGCACCUAUAAAACAAUUUAUUUUCAUAAAAGGUUUCCUUCUGUUAGAAUCAGAUCCUCAUGCUUAAUAUGAACUUAGAUAAGAAAUUACCACAAUACAGAAUUUGUGGGUAGAAAAUAAAAAAGGAAAACAAAAAUGUCAAAAUUUGAAAACUGAUGAGUUCAAUGUCAAACUACUAGGUGGUCAGUCAGUUGAAUGUUUACUAAUAGUUACAUUUGGCCUUAAAUUAACUUUCUAACUGCUUCCCUUAGAUUUCUGAAAAAUGGAUCAAUUAGGAUAUUUUAAUUUUGUAGAAACAAGUUAUAGAUAGAACAAAAAUUGGAGACUCUUGAAAUCAAUUGGAAGAUAUUCUAGACCAAACUAAAAGUAAACAAAAUAUCAAUAGAUUUAGGUAACAAAAUAUUAUUAGAUUUAGACUUGGAUUCAAAGAAUUUAAGGUUCUCAGUUUAAAUAUCUGUGUUUCCUUCUAUUCCUAGUGGUUUCUUGAAAUAUGCUGUAAGAAUUACUGAGAAAAAAGAUAUACAGAAAAUUUUCAUUUGUGCUGCAAUGACUUUAUCUGGCUUGGGCUGUUCCCUUCUAGAGUUGAAACAUUCAUUUGAGCAACAUUUUAGAGGAAAUUUUCCAUAGAAUUAAAGAAUUUCGGCACAGUUGCUCCUUUUUACAGAAUAGCUUUAGCAGCGGUGCGCUUGAAAACCUAGCAAAAAUAAUGGGAAUAGCAGAACUCUAAGAGGAAAAAAAGACUCUGCAGAUGAAUCUUUAUUUUAAAUAUUUGAAAUAAGCACAGUUACAGGACUCAGACAUUAAUAUUCUGUGAUUAUGAGUAUCCCUGUGCAUUUUAUCUGUUUAAUUCAUUCUCAUAAAAUGAAGGAGAGAGAAGCUUGAUGGAGCAAACUGAGUGAUUUAGCAACGUUUUUUAUUUCUCGCUUAUUUGAAAGAAUAAAUUGUAAAGCAAAAAAAAGAAGAAGCUCAUUGGAAUUUAUUGAAAGAGAUUUGGCUGGUGCUGUCACCUAUGAUAUUUCAAAUUUUUUGCAGAGACUGAAAUUUUCAGAGUCUAGGCAAAUUGAAAGGCUAUUUCGUUAACAAAUUUUACAGUGUGAAAGUCAAUAAAGACUGUCAAUGACAACUUAGCAGAGAAGAUUAUUUAUCUUGUUUAAUUUAUAGAUCCAAGUGCUUGUUUUAAAAAUAAAAUCCUUUUAAUCUGACCCUGCUACUUUGGUGUUAUUAAUAAUGGAAAUAUAAGAUAAGAGAUUUUUAUUUCAUAAAACUUUUAUUCCACUACAAAAUUUUGUCUAUUUUUAAUGAGGAAAGUCAUUAUGGUCUAAGAUAAAAAACUAAUAAUUGUUUGAAAACAAGGAAGGCAACCAAAUUUGGCUUUAUUUUUCCUCCUAAUUUCUGAGUUAUGUUUUCCAUGUUGAAAAUCUUUCAUGUCCAUGACGCAUUCAAGGGUAAACACAUUGUGCACUUUAUUUUUGAAACUUAUCUCAUUUGUCUUUGUUCUUUUUAUUUUGUAAUAUAAUGAACUUAAAAUAAUUAAGUAUCAAUUAUUCCUAGCUUAGAGUACACUUGCAGGCUGGUGUCAACUGAGUUGUUAUUUUCCAUGAAGCCUUCUCUGAUCCUUAAAACUAGAAAUCAUCUCUCCCUCCUCUGGUAUCAGAAUUUCUGUGUGAAUUUGACAUAGCACUUUGUAUAUUGUGAGACAUUUAUCAGUAAAGAAAUUUUUUUACACUUAUCUCCUCUAUUAGAGUGUAAACGAAUUAAUCUUUUAUUAAUUAAUAAAAGGUCUGACAUCUUUGUAUGUAAGUAAACUCCGUGAGUGCAGGGAUUUUUGUUUGUUGAUUGGUUGGUUGGUUUGUAUGUGGCUCACUGCUAAUUUUCUAAUACCUAAAAUUCUGCCUGGCACAUGGUAUAUACUCAAUAAAUAUUUGUUGAAUGAAUGCAUGAUACCAUCUGAUAUCCAGCCUUCUAUGAAGCAAGUCCUCAAUUAAAGUUUUUGAAUAUACAAAUGCUGGGGGGUUUUUGUGUAAAUACAUGCUCCACCCCACUCUCUAAAAGGCAUGGUGACUCUGUUUCAAAGGAAAAACUAGUUACUUUGGGAUUGAGACUAUAGAUUAAUUCUUCUGAACCAAAAUAUAUUGAAACUCUAUAGUUUUCAAUUUUGUAAGA
rnacentral:lncRNA from 1 species